AAAAGACAAACUCUGUAUAAAACUUUGGUUGCUGAAGAGCGGAACAGAUAAAUAUCUAACAAGUCCGAUCUGACCUGAGGUGAGUUGGGCGGAGAUUCCUAUUCAUGUGUUUCAAAGAAUUAAAUAGUCAUGACGUGGAUGCCGUGGAGUUCCUCUUCUCCAACGCGGUUUCUUUAAAAUGUUGUUAUAGUCACUUUCCCAGAAGCCUGGUGCCCAGCUUCAUGAAGCAAACCUUGAGGUAAUCCAUUGCGUUUUGUAACUUUGUUAUAUUAUAAAGCCAAGGAUUCUUCACAAAACCAUUAAACCAAAGAUAGCCAUUAAACUAAGACAAUAAGUUAAAAGUUUCUUUAUAGAGAGAGAAUCCUUGGCUUUGCCGAGAAGGGAAUCUGAAAACAUUAGCCAAAAUGAUACCAAAUGAUGAGCUGCUGUUAAACUUGAAGUCUCACAACUCCUUCAAUGCCCAAACAUUUUCCUUGUUUACCUCCAAUUUCAUGUCCUGGCUGCGCUAUAACUUUUGCUUUUGCAAGGCAGCUGGGUUUGUUUCAGGUAACUUUUGCCAUCAAUAAAGUAUCAUAUUUUUAGUUUUAAUUUUUAAUUCAACUAAUUGUAUUUUUAAAAUUUAGUAGGGAUUGCAGUUAUUCUAUUUAUCAUUAAACACAAUUAAAUAAAGGCUCUUCCGGUAAAAUCAUAAAGUAUUUGUUCUCUCUCUUUUGACUGGUAAGAACGUACGAUGAGAGUGUAAUCACUAUACAUUGGAGGUGGAGAAGAUACCACUGCACAAAAGAAAAACGAAAACAACCGCCAGUUCUUUUCAUUUUUCUUUGCUUAAUCUAGCUUGUGAAACAGUUUUGAAGCCCAAAACGCAUAUCUCCAGAUGUAAUCAAACUAACUUUGAAGAAUUUAGCUGGCUUAGUGUUCAGCUACAAGCUUGUAGACUAUGCUGUACUGGCAGUCUUAAUAACUUACUUCACAAACUCAAGCAAUUAAAAUCUCAAGAAAGCUGCAGCAUUUGUGAAUAUUCAGGAGGGGCUAUCAGCUUCACUUGCAUUCAUCUACAAUUACUAUGCUUUUCUGAGUCACCCUAAACUCAUUAUAUGUUCAGCGGUCUCCUUCAUUUGUGGCUUGUUGGUUCUGUACUUUACAGCCUUACAUAAAUUUCCAGAGUCAAAGACUGACAUAUUCAACAUAAUUGGAGUGGUUCUGUUUGCAAUGGGUGAACCUGGAUUGAAGACUUUCUUGAAGGCAUUUUUUUGUGAUCAGCUGAGAGCCCAGGAACCAAAACCAUACGUAAAAGAGGAUCGAGUGCAGGCUCGAAGGAGGAUGCGGUGGCUUGUUGCCUGGUCUUGUAGUUUACCAGCCGUAUUCUAUGUCUUCAGCCCCUCAAAUUGGCCAAAAACUUUCAUUAUUUCAGCAUCAAUUAUGGGGGUCACUCUGAUCUUGUUCUUAUUGGGUAUCCGUGUUUAUCGUUGCAAAGAAUCAGCUGGCCAUGGCAGGCGAUUACCUAUUUUCUCUGUUUUCAAGGCCUCCCUACUGAAAUGGAAGCUCGAUUAUCCUACUUCCCCAAAUCAUUUCUUUCGUAAUGAUGAAAAUCAAUUAUGUUUGUCACCUCGAAUCAAAAUCCUCAGGUUGUUCAGGGCUUGAGAAGUUGCCUCAAAAAAUACAAAAAAUGAUCUCCUUUAGACACGUGGAAAUAACCACAAAAGAGCGAAAUCUACGAGAAAAUGGAAUACAGUGUUUGAGUUCUCUUCGAUAUUUGUUUUUCGGUCAAUGCGAGAAUCUGGUAACAUUGCCUGCGGGAAUGGAGCGUCUCACAGGCCUCCGAACAUUGUAUAUUAUAGACUGUCCUCUGACCUCGUUGCCAUAUGGUAUCAAGGACCUAAAGAGAUUACAGAAGCUAACGAUUUGGAGCUGCCAACAACUUAAUUUGAAGAUGGAAUUUCGAGGAGAAGAUGAAGAUGAACUUCGGUUGGGAGUUCGAACAUUUGUGAUCGAAGACUUGCCGUCAUUAGUGGAUUUGCCUCAGCUUAUUCUUCAAGGAUCGGCAAACACUUUACAAUGCUUGAGGAUUGAAAACUGUCCCAAAUUAGUAAAACUACCGGAGUGGCUGCAAAAUCUCACAUCACUUCAAACACUUGAGAUUAUUCGUUGCCGGCGUUUGUCACGUCUUCCAGAAGGGAUGCAACGCCUUACUGCCCUCAGAAAACUGGAGAUUAAAUAUUCUCCUUAUCUGAGUGAAAGCUGCAGACGUGAUGAGUCGAAGAUUGCCCAUGUCCCGGAAGUUCAUCUUGAUGAAUAAAUUUCAUCUAUGUUUUGAUUCCUGCAAGCUUCCUGUAUCCAGGUUGGUACUUAGAUGAGCAGGACGACGAGGGACCCAACGAAUCAAUUCGGGAUUUUUCAUGAGGCAAGGGGUACUUCAAUCAUUAUGUUUAUGGACCUUAUUUAUAUAAUUAUUGAGUUUGUUUUAUGCACUGUUAUUAUGUGAUUUGGAUUUCAAAUACCUUGUCAUUUGUAAAUGAUUAUUAUGUAUUAUUACUGAACUAUUGAUAUGAUGGUUUUUUUCAAUGUGUUUACACUUUUUUA